AGGGUGCAGGGCAGGCGCGGGGCGGUCACGGGGGCGGGGCCGGUCGCGGGGCGCGGGGCAGGCCCGAGCUACCGGUAGUCUGCCUGCCGCAGUCCGAGCGCCGCGCUGGGGAGAGCGGGUGUUUGAAGGCUCCGCGGACCGGCACUAGGAGCCGGGGGCGGGUCCGUGACCCUCCGGCUGCUCGGAGCGAACAGGCGGCCAGGAAAGAAGCGGGCCUGAACACCAUGAUCCCUUUGGAGAAGCCAGGCAGCGGCGGCUCCUCCCCAGGCGCCACCUCAGGCUCGGGCCGGGCAGGCCGGGGUCUGAGCGGGCCGUGCCGGCCGCCGCCGCCGCCCCAGGCCCGCGGGCUGCUGACAGAGAUACGCGCCGUGGUGCGCACCGAGCCCUUCCAGGACGGCUACAGCCUGUGCCCGGGCCGGGAGCUGGGCAGGGGGAAAUUUGCAGUGGUGAGAAAAUGUAUAAAGAAAGAUUCUGGGAAAGAAUUUGCUGCAAAGUUCAUGAGAAAAAGAAGAAAAGGCCAAGAUUGUCGGAUGGAAAUAAUUCAUGAGAUUGCUGUACUUGAAAUAGCACAAGACAAUCCUUGGGUCAUUAAUUUACAUGAAGUUUAUGAGACUGCAUCAGAAAUGAUCUUAGUUCUGGAAUAUGCUGCUGGGGGUGAAAUCUUUGACCAGUGUGUUGCAGACAGAGAAGAAGCCUUUAAAGAAAAAGAUGUUCAAAGACUUAUGCGACAGAUUUUAGAAGGUGUUCACUUUUUACACACUCGUGAUGUAGUUCAUCUUGAUUUGAAGCCUCAGAAUAUUCUGUUGACAAGUGAAUCUCCAUUGGGUGACAUUAAGAUUGUUGAUUUUGGCCUUUCAAGAAUAUUGAAGAACAGUGAAGAGCUCCGAGAAAUUAUGGGUACCCCUGAAUAUGUGGCUCCUGAAAUUCUUAGUUAUGAUCCUAUAAGCAUGGCAACAGAUAUGUGGAGCAUUGGAGUGUUAACAUAUGUCAUGCUUACAGGAAUAUCACCUUUCUUAGGCAAUGAUAAACAAGAAACAUUCUUAAACAUCUCACAGAUGAAUUUAAGUUAUUCUGAGGAAGAAUUUGAUGUUUUGUCUGAGUCGGCUGUUGAUUUCAUCAGGACACUUUUAGUUAAGAAACCUGAAGAUCGAGCCACUGCUGAAGAAUGUCUAAAGCACCCCUGGUUGACACAGAGCAGUAUUCAAGAGCCUUCUUUCAGGAUGGAAAAGGCACUAGAAGAAGCAAAUGCCCUCCAAGAAGGUCAUUCUGUGCCUGAAAUUAAUUCAGAUACCGACAAAUCAGAAACCGAGGAAUCCAUUGUAACCGAAGAGUUAAUUGUAGUUACUUCAUAUACUCUAGGACAAUGCAGACAGUCUGAAAAAGAGAAAAUGGAGCAAAAGGCCAUUUCCAAACGAUUUAAAUUUGAGGAACCUUUGCUACAAGAAAUUCCAGGAGAAUUUAUCUACUGAGCAGUAUUUCCCUUUAGAACUUCAAGAUUUCUACAUUGAAAAUGUUAAUAUUAUUUAUGGACCUCUGGCCAAAUGGUACAUGUACUGGAAGUGGAUAACCAGUAUCACUUACACAAACAAAUUAACUUUGUCAAAUUUGUGGAGUUAGGUGGAAGCCAGAUUUUAAAAGUUGCCAACCAGGAGAUUUAACAGUUUCCUGGAACCUAGCAUUCCUAAACAAGCUCCAAAAUGCAGAAGAAGAAAUUGUGCCACAGUGAUAGAGUUUUUAAUGAAUAUCCAUGGCCACAGUGUUGAGUCUCAGAUGGACAAACUGAAAACGCCAGAGUCAAGUGGCCUAAAGCCACUUCCAAAGCUGCUUGCUUUGGGAAAACCCUUCAGAACUGCCGCUUCUUGAGCAUUUCCCUGGCCUUGCUGGUGGCCAGAGGACAGAAGGAACUAUUGUUAAGUUCUGGCUGUUUUGUGUAUAUGUAAUUUUAGUGUCACUGUUCCUGUAUACAAAUUUUACCUAAACUCAGCAAUAAAACCUUAUCAGGUAUUAUCAAGUCCUUGGGUUGGUGAAUAGGGAAUGUUUGCAGGCAAGAGGAGGCUAAUUCUAGGAAAAUUGAACAAAGACAGUAAACUCUGUGACUGACUUACUUACUUGAAAGUCAUACAGGUCUUGUCAGUACACAUUCAGCACAAUCUCUGAAACCUUCAUU